rnacentral:rRNA from 1 species
GCGAACGUUAGCGGCGGGCCUAACACAUGCAAGUCGAACGAGAAUAGGGGAGCAAUCCCCUUAGUAAAGUGGCGGACGGGUGCGUAACACGUGGGUGAUCUACCUUCCGGCGGGGGACAACAGUCCGAAAGGAUUGCUAAUACCGCGUACGUCGGCGAGGUCUCCGGACCUUGUCGGGAAAGACGGCCUCUCUUUAGAAGCUGUCACCGGAAGAUGAGCCCGCGGCCCAUCAGCUAGUUGGUGAGGUAACGGCUCACCAAGGCUAAGACGGGUAGCUGGUCUGAGAGGAUGAUCAGCCACACUGGGACUGCGACACGGCCCAGACUCCUACGGGAGGCAGCAGUGGGGAAUAUUGGGCAAUGGGCGAAAGCCUGACCCAGCCACG